ACGUGGGUGAUCUGCCCUGCACUUUGGGAUAAGCCUGGGAAACUGGGUCUAAUACCGAAUAUGACCGCAUGCUUCAUGGUGUGUGGUGGAAAGCUUUUGCGGUGUGGGAUGGGCCCGCGGCCUAUCAGCUUGUUGGUGGGGUAAUGGCCUACCAAGGCGACGACGGGUAGCCGGCCUGAGAGGGUGUCCGGCCACACUGGGACUGAGAUACGGCCCAGACUCCUACGGGAGGCAGCAGUGGGGAAUAUUGCACAAUGGGCGCAAGCCUGAUGCAGCGACGCCGCGUGAGGGAUGACGGCCUUCGGGUUGUAAACCUCUUUCAGCAGGGACGAAGCGCAAGUGACGGUACCUGUAGAAGAAGCACCGGCCAACUACGUGCCAGCAGCCGCGGUAAUACGUAGGGUGCGAGCGUUGUCCGGAAUUACUGGGCGUAAAGAGCUCGUAGGUGGUUUGUCGCGUUGUUCGUGAAAACUCACAGCUCAACUGUGGGCGUGCGGGCGAUACGGGCAGACUUGAGUACUGCAGGGGAGACUGGAAUUCCUGGUGUAGCGGUGGAAUGCGCAGAUAUCAGGAGGAACACCGGUGGCGAAGGCGGGUCUCUGGGCAGUAACUGACGCUGAGGAGCGAAAGCGUGGGGAGCGAACAGGAUUAGAUACCCUGGUAGUCCACGCCGUAAACGGUGGGUACUAGGUGUGGGUUUCC
rnacentral:rRNA from 1 species